UACGUAGGGUGCAAGCGUUAAUCGGAAUUACUGGGCGUAAAGCGUGCGCAGGCGGUUUCGUAAGUCUGUCGUGAAAUCCCCGGGCUUAACCUGGGAAUGGCGAUGGAGACUGCGAGGCUAGAGUUUGGCAGAGGGGGGGUAGAAUUCCACGUGUAGCAGUGAAAUGCGUAGAGAUGUGGAGGAACACCGAUGGCGAAGGCAGCCCCCUGGGUCAAAAACUGACGCUCAUGCACGAAAGCGUGGGGGAGCAAACAGG
rnacentral:rRNA from 1 species